rnacentral:rRNA from 1 species
UAGCAUAUCAAUAAGCGGAGGAAAAGAAACUAACAAGGAUUCCCCUAGUAGCGGCGAGCGAAGCGGGAAGAGCUCAAAUUUAUAAUCUGGCACCUUCGGUGUCCGAGUUGUAAUCUCUAGAAAUGUUUUCCGCGUUGGACCGCACACAAGUCUGUUGGAAUACAGCGGCAUAGUGGUGAGACCCCCGUAUAUGGUGCGGACGCCCAGCGCUUUGUGAUACAUUUUCGAAGAGUCGAGUUGUUUGGGAAUGCAGCUCAAAUUGGGUGGUAAAUUCCAUCUAAAGCUAAAUAUUGGCGAGAGACCGAUAGCGAACAAGUACCGUGAGGGAAAGAUGAAAAGCACUUUGGAAAGAGAGUUAACAGUACGUGAAAUUGUUGGAAGGGAAACGCUUGAAGUCAGACUUGCUUGCCGAGCAAUCGGUUUGCAGGCCAGCAUCAGUUUUCCGGGAUGGAUAAUGGUAGAGAGAAGGUAGCAGUUUCGGCUGUGUUAUAGCUCUCUGCUGGAUACAUCUUGGGGGACUGAGGAACGCAGUGUGCCUUUGGCGGGGGUUUCGACCUCUUCACACUUAGGAUGCUGGUGGAAUGGCUUUAAACGACCCGUCUUGAAACACGGACCAAGGAGUCUAACAUGCUUGCGAGUAUUUGGGUGUCAAACCCGGAUGCGUAAUGAAAGUGAAUGGAGGUGGGAACCGCAAGGUGCACCAUCGACCGAUCUGGAUUUUUAAUGAUGGAUUUGAGUAAGAGCACGUAUGUUGGGACCCGAAAGAUGGUGAACUAUGCCUGAAUAGGGCGAAGCCAGAGGAAACUCUGGUGGAGGCUCGUAGCGGUUCUGACGUGCAAAUCGAUCGUCAAAUUUGGGUAUAGGGGCGAAAGACUAAUCGA